rnacentral:antisense_RNA from 1 species
UGUGUGUAGUCUUGGCGGUACCAGUUUGUUUCCCUUUCUGGUGCCGCCC